rnacentral:rRNA from 1 species
GAUGAACGCUGGCGGCGUGCCUAAUACAUGCAAGUCGAGCGAACAGAUGAGAAGCUUGCUUCUCUGAUGUUAGCGGCGGACGGGUGAGUAACACGUGGGUAACCUACCUAUAAGACUGGGAUAACUCCGGGAAACCGGGGCUAAUACCGGAUAAUAUUUUGAACCGCAUGGUUCAAUAGUGAAAGACGGUUUCGGCUGUCACUUAUAGAUGGACCCGCGCCGUAUUAGCUAGUUGGUAAGGUAACGGCUUACCAAGGCGACGAUACGUAGCCGACCUGAGAGGGUGAUCGGCCACACUGGAACUGAGACACGGUCCAGACUCCUACGGGAGGCAGCAGUAGGGAAUCUUCCGCAAUGGGCGAAAGCCUGACGGAGCAACGCCGCGUGAGUGAUGAAGGUCUUCGGAUCGUAAAACUCUGUUGUUAGGGAAGAACAAAUUUGUUAGUAACUGAACAAGUCUUGACGGUACCUAACCAGAAAGCCACGGCUAACUACGUGCCAGCCGCCGCAGUAA